rnacentral:rRNA from 1 species
GACGAACGCUGGCGGCGUGCCUAAUACAUGCAAGUCGAACGCAGUGGCGACGGGUGAGUAACACGUGGGUAAACUCCCAUUAGAGGGGAUACCACUUUGAAACAGGUGCUAAACCGAUACUGCUGGUUCGACCCGGCGUGCAUUAGCUAGUUGGUGAGGUAACGACGAACCAAUGCCACGAUGCAUAACCGACCUGAGAGGAUGAUCAGUCACACUGGGACUGAGACACGGCCCAGACUCCUACGAGAGGCAGCAGUAGGGAAUCUUCGGCAAUGGACGAAAGUCUGAUCGAGCAACUCCGCGUGAGUGAAGAAUGUUUUCGGAUCGUAAAACUCUGUUGUUAGAGAAGCGGUAUCUAACCAGAAAGCCACGGCUAACUACGUGCCAGCCGCCGCGGUAAUUC